CCACCUCCGACUUCGGUUAAUUACCGAAAUGCUAAACGUAGGAAAGGGAUUCCCCAGCGAGCUCCAAUGGCAGGACUAAUCAUACAAUAUUAAAGCUCCAUAGCCUUAAAGUUUAGACAUGUACACAAUGUGAUGGCCACAAUGCCCCACCACAACUCUUUCCCUAAAAACGAUCCGGCAUUGUCACAUUCCCCUCCCAUUCUCAAGUGUUUUGUAAAUAGAAGCAAGCAAAAAACAUACAAGUGGGAAACAAAGUGGAAAAAUAAGCCCCACGGAUAGGGAUAGGAUUGUCCAAAGAUCGA
rnacentral:lncRNA from 1 species